AGAGUUUGAUCCUGGCUCAGGAUGAACGCUAGCGGCAGGCCUAACACAUGCAAGUCGAGGGAUAAGCCUUCGGGCUAAGACCGGCGCACGGGUGCGUAACGCGUAUACAAUCUGCCUUUUAUCCGGGGGAUAGCCCGAAGAAAUUUGGAUUAAUACCCUAUGGUAUAAGAGCACGGCAUCGUGCACUUAUUAAAGCUACGGCGGUAAAAGAUGAGUAUGCGUUCUAUUAGCUAGUUGGAGAGGUAACGGCUCCCCAAGGCGACGAUAGAUAGGGGUUCUGAGAGGGAUGUCCCCCACACUGGUACUGAGAUACGGACCAGACUCCUACGGGAGGCAGCAGUGAGGAAUAUUGGACAAUGGUCGGAAGACUGAUCCAGCCAUGCCGCGUGCAGGAUGACGGCCUUAUGGGUUGUAAACUGCUUUUGUAAGGGAAGAAUAAGGAGUACGUGUACUUUGAUGACGGUACCUUACGAAUAAGCAUCGGCUAACUCCGUGCCAGCAGCCGCGGUAAUACGGAGGAUGCGAGCGUUAUCCGGAAUCAUUGGGUUUAAAGGGUCCGUAGGCGGGCUAAUAAGUCAGAGGUGAAAGCGCUCAGCUCAACUGAGCAACUGCCUUUGAAACUGUUAGUCUUGAAUGGUUGUGAAGUAGUUGGAAUGUGUAGUGUAGCGGUGAAAUGCUUAGAUAUUACACAGAACACCGAUAGCGAAGGCAUAUUACUAACAAUUAAUUGACGCUGAUGGACGAAAGCGUGGGGAGCGAACAGGAUUAGAUACCCUGGUAGUCCACGCU
rnacentral:rRNA from 1 species